rnacentral:lncRNA from 1 species
CUAACUGGUGUUUUCUAGAUGUAGGAAAUGGCAAGGGACAUGAGAGAAACUGCAUGUUCAAUAGGAAGGAUCACCUCAAGCAAACUAUUGAGAGGCUAACACAAUUAGUGGCGGGCUUUAUCCCAAAAGUAAACCAAAACAUGGCUCAUAAUCCUAAUGGUGAACCUAGUGGCAAUCAAAACCAUGCCUCUACAGAUGCAUCGCGGCCAGUUAAGCCAGAUAAUGGGAAGCUGAUUAAACAGUUUAGAGGGUUAAAUUGCCUGCCUUCCGAUGACGACUUUCUCCUAUGAUAGUUGAGCAAUGGCUCUUGCAAAUAGAGAAUAGGCUUAAAGUUCUCAAGCAUACAUCCAAGCCGAAGGUGGAAAUAACUAAUUUCAUGUUCAAGGGAGCUGCAGAGCAUUGGUGGCGACUUAAAGAAAGUUCUAUCAUAGCCCCAAUUUUAUGGGAAACCUUUGUAGCAGUCUUCCACGACAAACACUUCCUCGAUUACAUCAGGGAAGAAAAGUUGAUGGAG